UAUUUUUUAAAUUGUAAAACUUACCGAGUCAAUUAAACUCGUUCAAUUGAAAAACUCACGAACAAGUCCGUCCUUCUACUUCUCGUCUUCUCGAUCGAUUCUUUUCCUCUCAACCCUUCUCGGCUUUGUUGCUUCCUCUUUGUUUCCUUCUAGCUUAAUAAAUUCAAUCGAGUCCUCUAAUUCUUCUUUCUUUUUUGCUACUAUAUAAUCAACUACUGAUUUUGACUUUUUCUUCAAACUUCAGUUCUUUGAAAAAAAGUGAACAAUCGCCACCGGUCGGCCGACCGUUGUUGUUCCGGCGUAGAUGUGACUGCUCUGGUGGAAGCCAUCAAGAUAUCUAUAAUCUAUCUAUCUAUUUUAAAUUUACUCGGUUAAGGUGUGGGUGUAAAGGCUAGGUUGUGUUGUGCUAAUAGAAUUUAUUGACUCAAUUCCAAUCUAUUUCUUGCCUAAUUUUGUAAAUUAGAUGUUUAACUUAAGUCCUCUAUUUUUUAAGCUCAAAGGUUAUCUGAGUUUUUGUUUGAAUGUCAUCAACUUCAAAUAUUGACGGAGAUUAGUUUUUCUGCCUGUGAAGUGCUCUGCCUAUGAAGUGUUUGAUAAAAUUCUUCAAUGAAGGUGAUAGGGUGAUUAGGAUUGAGGUAAUCAUGAAAUUGGUUUGUUUAUUUUUUUUACUCCCAUUACAACUUUUUGUAGAUGUUAUUAAAAAAACUAUUUUUUUAUAUAUAUGUACUUGACUUUAAUUAAACAAAAACUAAUUAAAAAUUUCGUUUAUACUAUCAAAAUCAAAAUGUCUAUAUGUACUCUGCUCCGAAUUGGAUUAUGUACUUGCUAAUUGUUGGGGACCACGCUAUGAUCGCCGGUGACCCGAAUAAGUGGCUCCAGUAUAUAAAUGAUUUCUACAAGAUGCAUUGCAUGUGUAAAUAUUAUUGAUCUAAGUGAUUUAUGAGUUUCUCAUUAGUGUUGGUACACUUGCAGAUACGGAGUAUUAUGGAAACAUGAUUAUUGAUUGUGAAAUCAUAUAUUAGUUUUUGAACCACUGCUAUUAUUCUUAGAAAAAAUCAUUAAAACUAUGGUAUUUGGCACAUAGAAGUUUGGAACUGCUAGGAUCUUGAGGACCAAUAGAUCCAUAAUGAAUUUAACAAAAUUUUGUUGAGUUUAUGUUUGUUAAUAUGUAACCUGUUGCAGGACUUUGGAACUCUAUUAUUACUCCUCUUUGAAAACAUAGAUUCGAGUUAAUAUGAGCAUAUGAACCUUAAUUUGACAAUGUUAUUUUCUACAAUUAUCAUCCAUCAGAAAUGUAUGAUUUGAUAAUAGACCUGUUGUAAAUCAUGAAAUUGUUUCGAUCCAAAUGCAGAGAUGAUAUAUAUUCUCAUAUUUUGAAAUCAAAUUAUUACACAGUUUUUCUAUUGUUCCAUAGUUUUCUAUGCCAUUUCAAAAAGGUCCUUUAUAGUUUAUUGUAAAGAAUUAUCCUUACUGCAUACUUGAUUCAGGAUGUAGCAAGUUUUAACAAGUUAAUGAUAAUUUAAAAUACAGAGACUGCUGAGUAGAACAGAGGGAGCUGAUGAUCGACUGUGUUAGCUAUUACUGCUAAUCUAACUUUUAAUAUCCACAGAAAGGGUUGUAUUGAUGUUUCACUAGAAUUUCAUUUCAGAAUCUAGAUAUUAGAACCUGCAAUAAAAUCAUACUCACUCACUAUGUCUAUAUUGACAAUGUUACGUUGUAUCACAUUGGAUGUUACUGGUACAUUAAUAGCUUACAAAGUAGAGCUUGGUGACUACUAUUGCAUGGUAGCCAAAUUUUUUGGAUUGUUCCUUCUCUCUUCUCACUGUUCAAUCGCCUCAUCGAAGGGUUUAAGAAACUCCACCGAGACGCCGCUGUCUCUGCCUCCUCUCUGACCAAUACUUCGUCCCCCAAAGUUCUCUGAUCGUAUGAGCUCAGAUAAGAUUCGUACGAAUUCAAUCAGAGAACAAAAACCUUUUUUUCCAAGGUGGUUUACUAUUACUAUUGAAAAUUGGGAUCUAAUUUUGUCCUUUUUUUUUCUUUCUUCGGCCAUAAAUUGAUUAAAAAGAAACACAGAAGAAAAAUAAUAAUUGUUGAAUUGAAUGCAGGAAUUGAAGAAAAUGAAGGACAUCUUCAGUCAUGAGUCAAUGGUUUGGUCAAGUUGUGGACGAAGAAUAAGAGGGCACUGAUAAUAACAGAAACAUUGAAAAUCAUAAGGUAUCAUUUUCUUGAAAAUAAAUAAAAUAAACUCAUUUUUCCAUAAAAUCAUAAGGUAUCAUAUAAAUGUGUGUCCAUCCACAUAACUUUUGUGAGUUUUUUGUUCAGUCGAAGUAAUGAUACAAUCCCAAAUCAAUUUAACCAUUGAAAGUUUUUUCAGGUAUGAAAGAGAACUAAUUGGAAUUUCUACUACUUCUCUUCUAUUUUUAAUAUUAUCAGAAACGAAAUUAAGGUUAUGCUUUUUGUAUUCUACUCAUUCUAUAAUUUUUAUUUGAUUUGAUUUUGAAGCCAUGUGAAUUGGUUUUCCUGUACAUGAUUUUUUGGGUUAAUUCUAUUCACAAGUUUAAUUGUAAAUUCAUUGUAUGUUAUUUUACUGUUUGAUCAAUUGAAUUCAAUACACGUGUGGAUUGUUAUGUGAAAGUUAAAACUAAAACUAUGAAUAAUAGUAAUGGCUUGCCUUAAAUUAAUCAUUUUUUGGUCAGGCUCUAUUUGUUAAUGUUCAAUCUGGAUUACUAAAUGUAUUUGAAUGAACAUUCAAGGGAAUGUCAUAUUUCAUAUUUUUGUGUUAAAAGUUUGUCUUUAACUGCCAUUUUAUGUACUCAUUCUAUUUUAUUCUUUAUAGUAUUUUUUUGGGUAUUUAAUUAUGUCUGGAAAUAAUUUAUAGCUCAGAAGUAAGACCAUACGUUUCAAAUGCAAUUUAUAUUUUUAUACAUGUCACUGCAAAGACCGGUAACCUUUAAUUCUACUGCAAGCAUGCUGCUAAUGCAACAAGCUCAUCUUAUUGGGAUAUUAGGGACCAAAAAUUUGAGGAGAAUGUUGUUCCUUUGGCCAUAUUUUACAGUUCAAUUGAGUCGAUCAACAUUCCAUCUAUUAUUUGGGAUCACUAAGAGCUUGAGAUUUCGUUUGAAAUAUUGUUGAAAUGGUUGGACCAGGAUAGAUUUGGACUAGAUGUGGAAUUUGUGCAAGAAAUUUUAGAACAACUUCCUAGGGCCAUAGCCUGUCGCUUCUAUGUAUUUUUGAAAGAAAGAAGUGCAUAUUCUUUCAUCCUUAACAGUUGGAAAUGGGUUACUGCUUGCUAAAACAAAGGAUGGAACUCAUCUUACAAAUGAGGAAACAUUAGAUGAUUCAUUUGAAGGUUGUCAAGAAGCCAAGACUCCGAAAUUUCAAUACUCUGUAAUAGAGAAUCAUUUUUUCUUUCCUGGAAAGCCUAUUAGUUCAAGGCUUCCUAAGCUUCUGAGUGAUGCUCUUCAAGUAUGUAUGUUUUUGUUGCAUAUUAGUUCAAUAUCUAUGUUAUUUAUAAUUAAUUUUUGUUUUUAGAAUUAUAAAUUUUGGUUUUGUUAUAAUGGGGCAUGAGUUUGUUUGCUAUAUCCUAAGAAAAUGAUUGGUGAUAUCAGGUAUCAAUCCGUUAUUCAUUGUAGUCCGUGCAUUGCACGGGCUAUCACCUAGUACAUAAAAUAAAACUGUGUAAAGAAAAAACCUGC
rnacentral:lncRNA from 1 species